rnacentral:rRNA from 1 species
AUGAACGCUAGCUACAGGCUUAACACAUGCAAGUCGAGGGGCAGCAUGGACCCAGCUUUGCUGGGUUUGAUGGCGACCGGCGCACGGGUGAGUAACGCGUAUCCAACCUGCCCUUUACUCCGGGAUAGUCUCCUGAAAGGGAGUUUAAUACCGGAUGUGUUUGUCUUUCCGCAUGGGAGCGACAAAUAAAGAUUAAUUGGUAAAGGAUGGGGAUGCGUCCCAUUAGCUUGUUGGCGGGGUAACGGCCCACCAAGGCGACGAUGGGUAGGGGUUCUGAGAGGAAGGUCCCCCACAUUGGAACUGAGACACGGUCCAAACUCCUACGGGAGGCAGCAGUGAGGAAUAUUGGUCAAUGGGCGGGAGCCUGAACCAGCCAAGUAGCGUGAAGGACGACGGCCCUACGGGUUGUAAACUUCUUUUAUAAGGGAAUAAAGUUCGCCACGUGUGGUGUUUUGUAUGUACCUUAUGAAUAAGCAUCGGCUAAUUCCGUGCCAGCAGCCGCGGUAAUACGGAAGAUGCGAGCGUUAUCCGGAUUUAUUGGGUUUAAAGGGAGCGUAGGCGGGCUUUUAAGUCAGCGGUCAAAUGUCGUGGCUCAACCAUGUCAAGCCGUUGAAACUGUAAGCCUUGAGUCUGCACAGGGCACAUGGAAUUCGUGGUGUAGCGGUGAAAUGCUUAGAUAUCACGAAGAACUCCGAUCGCGAAGGCAUUGUGCCGGGGCAUAACUGACGCUGAGGCUCGAAAGUGCGGGUAUCAAACAGGAUUAGAUACCCUGGUAGUCCGCACGGUAAACGAUGAAUGCUCGCUAUGGGCGAUAUAUUGUCCGUGGCCAAGCGAAAGCGUUAAGCAUUCCACCUGGGGAGUACGCCGGCAACGGUGAAACUCAAAGGAAUUGACGGGGGCCCGCACAAGCAGCGGAGCAUGUGGUUUAAUUCGAUGCAACGCGAAGAACCUUACCUGGUCUUGACAUCCACAGAACUUUCCAGAGAUGGAUUGGUGCCUUCGGGAACUGUGAGACAGGUGCUGCAUGGCUGUCGUCAGCUCGUGUUGUGAAAUGUUGGGUUAAGUCCCGCAACGAGCGCAACCCCUGUGAUUAGUUGCCAGCGAGUAAUGUCGGGAACUCUAAUCAAACUGCCGGUGAUAAAUCGGAGGAAGGUGGGGACGACGUCAAAUCAUCAUGCCCUUUAUGUCUUGGGCUACACACGUACUACAAUGGCUAUAACAAAGAGAAGCGAGACAGUGAUGUGGAGCAAAACUCAAAAAAAUAGUCUCAGUUCGGAUUGAAGGCUGAAAUUCGCCUUCAUGAAGCUGGAAUUGCUAGUAAUGGCAGGUCAGCAUACUGCCGUGAAUACGUUCCCGGGCCUUGUACACACCGCCCGUCACACCAUGGGAGUCAGUAACGCCCGAAGUCAGUGACCUAACUGCAAAGAAGGAGCUGCCGAAGGCGGGACCGAUGACUGGGGUG